rnacentral:rRNA from 1 species
GCUGUGAGGCAUGCUGGAGGUAUCAGAAGUGCGAAUGCUGACAUAAGUAACGAUAAAGCGGGUGAAAAGCCCGCUCGCCGGAAGACCAAGGGUUCCUGUCCAACGUUAAUCGGGGCAGGGUGAGUCGACCCCUAAGGCGAGGCCGAAAGGCGUAGUCGAUGGGAAACAGGUUAAUAUUCCUGUACUUGGUGUUACUGCGAAGGGGGGACGGAGAAGGCUAUGUUAGCCGGGCGACGGUUGUCCCGGUUUAAGCAUGUAGGCUGGUUAUCCAGGCAAAUCCGGAUAAUCAAGGCUGAGGUGUGAUGACGAGGCACUACGGUGCUGAAGUAACAAAUGCCCUGCUUCCAGGAAAAGCCUCUAAGCAUCAGGUAACAUCAAAUCGUACCCCAAACCGACACAGGUGGUCAGGUAGAGAAUACCAAGGCGCUUGAGAGAACUCGGGUGAAGGAACUAGGCAAAAUGGUGCCGUAACUUCGGGAGAAGGCACGCUGGUGUGUAGGUGAAGCCCCUGCGGGUGGAGCUGAGACCAGUCGAAGAUACCAGCUGGCUGCAACUGUUUAUUAAAAACACAGCACUGUGCAAACACGAAAGUGGACGUAUACGGUGUGACGCCUGCCCGGUGCCGGAAGGUUAAUUGAUGGGGUUAUCCGUAAGGAGAAGCUCUUGAUCGAAGCCCCGGUAAACGGCGGCCGUAACUAUAACGGUCCUAAGGUAGCGAAAUUCCUUGUCGGGUAAGUUCCGACCUGCACGAAUGGCGUAAUGAUGGCCAGGCUGUCUCCACCCGAGACUCAGUGAAAUUGAACUCGCUGUGAAGAUGCAGUGUACCCGCGGCAAGACGGAAAGACCCCGUGAACCUUUACUAUAGCUUGACACUGAACAUUGAGCCUUGAUGUGUAGGAUAGGUGGGAGGCUUUGAAGCGUGGACGCCAGUCUGCGUGGAGCCAACCUUGAAAUACCACCCUUUAAUGUUUGAUGUUCUAACGUUGGCCCCUUAUCGGGGUUGCGGACAGUGUCUGGUGGGUAGUUUGACUGGGGCGGUCUCCUCCCAAAGCGUAACGGAGGAGCACGAAGGUUAGCUAAUCCUGGUCGGACAUCAGGAGGUUAGUGCAAUGGCAUAAGCUAGCUUGACUGCGAGCGUGACGGCGCGAGCAGGUGCGAAAGCAGGUCAUAGUGAUCCGGUGGUUCUGAAUGGAAGGGCCAUCGCUCAACGGAUAAAAGGUACUCCGGGGAUAACAGGCUGAUACCGCCCAAGAGUUCAUAUCGACGGCGGUGUUUGGCACCUCGAUGUCGGCUCAUCACAUCCUGGGGCUGAAGUAGGUCCCAAGGGUAUGGCUGUUCGCCAUUUAAAGUGGUACGCGAGCUGGGUUUAGAACGUCGUGAGACAGUUCGGUCCCUAUCUGCCGUGGGCGCUGGAGAAUUGAGGGGGGCUGCUCCUAGUACGAGAGGACCGGAGUGGACGCAUCACUGGUGUUCGGGUUGUCAUGCCAAUGGCACUGCCCGGUAGCUAAAUGCGGAAGAGAUAAGUGCUGAAAGCAUCUAAGCACGAAACUUGCCCCGAGAUGAGUUCUCCCUGAGACUUUAAGUCUCCUGAAGGAACGUUAAAGACGAUGACGUUGAUAGGCCGGGUGUGUAAGCGCAGCGAUGCGUUGAGCUAACCGGUACUAAUGAACCGUGAGGCUUAACCUU